GGACACCAACGGCGGCAUGUCUGUGCCUCCCACCGUGCCCGAGGUCCCUGUGCCCACGGCCACCGUGGUCACCAACACCGACGGCUCCACCACCACCACCUACCCCAACGGCACCGUGGUCAUUGAGUGGAAUGACGGCACCACCAAGACCACCACCACGGACGGCACGACCAGCACCACGAAGGUUGACGGCACUGAGAUUGUGACCACCCCCAACGGCACCGAGACCACUACCAAGCCCAAUGGCGAGGUGAUCACCAAGUACCCCAACGGCACCAUCGUUGACGAGAAGCCUGGCGGAACCACCAUCACCACCACACCUGACGGCAAGACCGUGACUGAGAGCCCCGGCGGCACCGUCACCACCGUCACGCCCACUCCCAGCGGCGGCACCAACACCACCGUCGAGCAGCCCAACGGCUCCACCUCGACCACUAUCAAGGACUCCACCGGCAGCACCACCAGCUCCUCCACCAAGCAGCCCGACGGCACCAACUCCACUUCGACCACCACCUCUGGCGGCACCACCACCGUGGUCACUUAUCCCAACGGCACCAUUGACACGACCAACCCUGACGGCAAGGAGAUCAUUUCCUACCCCAACGGCACCACCGUGACCAAGAACACCGACGGCUCGACCAGCACCACCACCAGCUCCGGCACCACCACCGUCACCAACCCUGACGGCUCGACCAAGGUCACCACGUCUGACGGCACCUCCACCACCACCUAUUCCAACGGCACCGUCGUGACGGUCAAGACUGACAACACCACCACCUACACCUACCCCAACGGGACCACCAGCACCACAACUCCCGACACCACUGUCACCGUCAAGUACCCCGAUGGCUCCUCCACCGUUACCCAGCCCGGCGGCACCACGAUUGUGACGACCACCGACAAGACCGUCACGGUCACUGAGCCUGAUGGCACCAAGACUGUGAUCACGGUUGACGGCACCAAGACCGUCACUGAGCCUGAUGGCACCAAGACCGUUGAGAAGCCGGACGGCCAGGUCACCAUCGUUGAGCCCGAUGGCACUGUCACCAUCAAGACCCCUGACGGCAAAGUUACCGUCACUGAGCCCAAUGGCGUGACCACCGUCACCACGACCAACGGCACGACUACCAUCACCGACCCUAACGCUGGCACCGUCAAGGAGAUUCCUCCCAGCGGCAACCCCGUCACCACCACCACCUCCGAUGGCACCAAGACUGUUGUGGACGGCACCACCGGCACUACCACCACCACGACACCUGGCGGCGACGUGACCGUGACCACCAAGGACGGCACCACCAACACCAACCGCACGGACGGUGUGGUCAUUGUCACCACCCCUGAUGGCACCACCACCACCACCGUCCCCGGCGGCACCACCGUCACCGAGUUCAUUAACGGCACCAAGAUUGUUGACGACAAGAGCACCGGCACCACGACCGUCAGCUACCCCAACGCCACCACCGUGACCACCACCAAGGAUGGCACGAUCACCACCGUUGAUGCCGACGGCACCACCAACACCACCACCUCCACCGGCACCACUACCAUCUGGUACCCCGAUGGCACUACCGUCAUUGACCCGCCGGGUGUCGGCAACGUGACCGUGAUUUACAUCAACGGCACUGUCGAGAUCAUUGCCCCGAACGGCAGCGAGAGCAUCACCUACCCCAACGGCACCAGCAAGGAUGUGCUGCCCAACGGCUCCACCAUCACCACCUACCCCAACGGCACCGUGAUCACCACCACUCCUGGUGGCACCCCUCAGAUCACCCAGCCGCCCACCACCACUACCACCACCACUGACAACUCCAAGGUCACCACGCUUCCGGACCAGACCACGGUCACCACCAAGCCCGAUGGCUCAACCCAGAUCCAGACGCAGGAGGG
rnacentral:lncRNA from 1 species